rnacentral:lncRNA from 1 species
UCCACAAGAGGUAAAAUCCAAUCCUCGUCGUUUUCAAAUAUAUAGCUAGAUAACCUGUAACUUUGUUAGAAAGCAUGAUUUAGAUAUUUCUUUUAUCUUUAGUUAUGAUUAUGAUGUUUUAUUGGCUUUUCGUUCCUGAUGUUAAAAAAUGCCCCUCUCUGGUAGUUAAAUAUGAACGCAAUAUGGUAGAUGAGGCCUUCAUGUUUUAAUAUGUUAG